rnacentral:lncRNA from 1 species
CGCCCUCCUGUGCGUCGUUUGUCCAAUCUUCCGCAUGGCGCGCCUGGCUGCUUGUUGUCGCACCUUGGUAUUAUUUUUGAUGCUUUCCCAAUUUCCCCUGAUGCUUCCACUUCUAUCGUGUUCUACAAUGUCAGCGUAUAAACUAGUCCCAACUUUGCAAUAAUGUGUGUAUAUGUAUCCAGUCAUAUACCAAGGGUAUUGUUGAACUCAAUUUGAUGUAAUUGUCAAUUUCAUUUCAUAUAUUGUAGAAAAACAAGAUGAAGAGAUUUCAUAUUGAGUGAGAUGUAUUUGCAAGUAUUGAUGAUGAUGAUAUUGUAUAUCAAUUUCUAUCAUGUAGGUCUCGCAAAGGGCUUUUACCUCGUCGAAGUGGUAAGUUUUUAUACUUGUAUCAAUGAUAAUUGUUUCACUUGACGUCGUUUAUGCCUUCUCUUAUGAAAAUUUUCUUUUGAUGUCUUGAAGGUAUUGGCUCUUCUUCCUCCGAUGACGAGAUUAUGUGAGGUACUGGUGAAGCAAACAGGAGGCGUUGGCUCUUCUUUUGAUUUGGUACUCUUUUUUUAUCACAUACCGUUCUUUGUAGUUUUUGACAUGUUUUUAAUUUUUUAAUUGUAUUGUUGGGCAUAGGGUUUUAAUUCUAAAUUUUUCAUGCAAUUGAGCCAUAUUUUGUAUGGGGUAUCUUUUGUGAUAGCUAAAUGACCUAUAGACGUUUAGUUUUUCCUUGCGGCGAU